CGCAUGACUGCAAACACAACAAACAGGAGCCGGUGACGAGACGAGAAAAAGAAAAGAAAAGAAAAGAAAAGAAAAGAAAAGAAAAGAAAAGAAAAGAAAAGAAAAGAAAAGAAAAGAAAAGAAAAGAAAAGAAAAGAAAAGAAAAGAAAAGAAAAGAAAAGAAAAGAAAAGAAAAAGAAAAAGAAAAAGAAAAGAAGACAAGAGCAUCACGGAGGAGACAAAAAGCGGCCUAAUGAACAAGCCUGGACGGCGGCCCGUUGCCACGGCGACAAACGAAGGCCCCGUCGUCGCUAAGGAGCCGCUGGCGUCGGGCGUGCCCGCUCGCUGAUGACACGGCACUGCGAUCUGAAGCUUCCCGGCAGCCCGAGGCCGCGUUCGGAGAACCCGGCGCUCCGUGAACGUGAGCGUGAGCGUGAACGUCAACUUUUGCUUAAGAAUUGAUCCAUUGACCAAUUGAAUGAGUUCCGGUCGACGUCUCGAGCUGUCAUUCGUUUGACUUUUUAGUAACCGAGGCAGUGAAGGCAUGUUGGAAAAUGUUUUGUGCCGCACUCAUCUUCAGUUUAUUGGAGAAGUGAACACACAAAGAGAAUUACAGGAAGCAAACUUCAGAAGAGCCUGCUGGCUUCAUGCUAACAUACAUAUAAUGGAAUACAGCUUUCACGUGCUAACAGUUAGCAUCAGGCGGAUAUCGAAAGAACGCGCGCAGUCAAUAUGGCCGUAGUCUCGGGCAUCUAUUCCACAAGUCACGUCGAGGAGCAACGUGAUAAGUGGCGACUUUCUCAAAAACGCAGAACGGGUCGUUCAAGCGCCAGUCAAAUCCCUGACAACGACCGCGACCGCCGGUAUUAAAGUGGGACAGACGCGUCAAGCGCGGCUUGAAAGUGUCCAUUUCUUGAUAUGCUCACCCAUGGUGGCCAUUUGCAGCUGAAAGCUCACACGCAAGUGUCCAUUUCUUGGAAUUUUAGCCCACGGUCGCCAUUUUGCAGACGAAACCAAACGAGAGCAUGUCGACAAUCAAGUUGGGCUGUUGCGCUCGGAUUUUGGAGCAGAGAUCCCCAAAAAGGUCCCUUUUGCCCAUUUCCGCCCCGGUUGAUGGUCCAGCAAUGUGUGGGACCAUCUGCCAUUUUUGACAAAUCUUGUCACAUUGCUGGUUGGGAAGCGGAGCGAGCGAGCGAGAGAAAGAGAGGGGGGAGAGAGAGAGAGAGAGAGGGGGGAGAGAGAGAGCGAGAGAGAGAGAAAGAUUGCCAAGGCAGUUGCCGCGUUGGCAGUCAUUCACUCAGUCCCAACAUGGAGUCCAAGUCGUCCAAUCAACGUUAUAGGGCGCUCGGAAACGAGCGUUUGGAGAUCAAUUGGAAUGGCAUCAGAACGGAGGGUGCGGUCGCUAUUGAAAGUCAGGCGUCGGUACCGCCGAGGUCGUUUCUGCUGUCGUCGGUCCCGACGAGGUCGUUUCUGCUGUCGUCGGUCCCGACGACUUCUUGAUGACACGGGUGCUGUUGCUGGUCCGGAUGACGUCGUUUCAAUCCAUAUCGGUAUCCCUGUCAGCGUGGGCGGGCACGUCGGGAUCACGGGCGCUUAGAGCAAACUCUGCAACGACUGAUCAAAUUUUCCGGCAGGUCCCCGGCUUCGGUUCGAGGCUCGGGUUUGCUGGAAGACAACAAGACGGGCUUUCAGGACGGCUUUUUGGUGUGGCUUCCAGCCGGCCGGCCAGGCGGCGAGCACCUGAACAUGUGACGCGGGUCCAGUGCGGCCAGCCAGUACGAGUAGGAGUCAGUGUAGAAGUUGCACGUCCCUCUGCCGUGACACUCGAUGAAGGGAAUCUUACGAAAGCUCUCCAGACACGAUCCGGGCGACGACAGGGGCUGACCCGAACCCUCCGCCCCGACUCCCGUUUCCUGAAGACCCAACAAAAGGUGGCCGGUUUGGAGUUUGACACCCAAAGAAGAGUUCAAAACCAAUGUCAGAGGCGACCAACAGGGAUUGGCCAAUGAUGAGCAAGGGCAAACUCACCAUGACGAAAGAGAAUCCCGACCACAGAGAAUCCCAACCCAGAGGACAGUCGGGAAGCAAACGUGUUUGACUGUGGACAGUCAUCACGUUGGUUGCCGACUCGCACACCGCGCACCUGAAAUGCAGAUGUUUUAAAUGCAAGCAUAUGUCACACACACAUCAUCAGACAAAUGGCAGCCAGUCACACAUACAAACAGACGCACAUUACACAUCUCAGAUACACAGAGUAUACUGCAUCGCACCCAAACACACACACACACACACACACACACACACACACACACACACACACAAAC